CCUACGGGAGGCAGCAGUGGGGAAUAUUGGACAAUGGGGGCAACCCUGAUCCAGCAAUGCCGCGUGGGUGAAGAAGGCUUUCGGGUUGUAAAGCCCUUUCAGUAGGGAAGAACGCACAAGGUGCUAAUACCGCUUUGUGUAUGACGUUACCUACAGAAGAAGCACCGGCUAACUCCGUGCCAGCAGCCGCGGUAAUACGGAGGGUGCGAGCGUUAAUCGGAAUUACUGGGCGUAAAGGGCGCGUAGGUGGUUUAGCAAGUCGGAUGUGAAAGCCCCGGGCUCAACUUGGGAAUUGCAUUCGAUACUGCUUGGCUGGAGUACGGUAGAGGGAAGCGGAAUUCCCGGUGUAGCGGUGAAAUGCGUAGAUAUCGGGAGGAACAUCAGUGGCGAAGGCGGCUUCCUGGACCGAUACUGACACUGAGGCGCGAAAGCGUGGGGAG
rnacentral:rRNA from 1 species